rnacentral:piRNA from 1 species
AUUUCCAGUCAUGGAUAUGAUUGCUGGGC